AGUCGCAUUGAAAUCGCUCCGUAUUUAUCACGGUUGUUAAUAUUUGAAAGAAUAUUUUACGUCAAAAGUCAUUGCAAAUAUCUGUCGUGGUAUGUCAAAAAUUCGUAGUAACGUGUUAGAUUAUCGCGCACAAUUGCUAUUAUUGCGGUUUCGAGCAUUGGCGAUCGGCUUCUGUGUGUUAGUACGUAUGAAAUUCUCUUCGCAUAUAUCGCGCCAUUUUUUGCCAAAGUUCAUCGAAAAUACAAUGUGUGCAAGCAAAAAUGGAUUUCCAUGAAGCAGCGCAAAAUGGAGCAAGAGAGGAGUUGUCCAAUAAAUUCAAGUUAUCAACGGAUUUUCAACGUUUACAUCGUCGAUAAACUUUGUGCGCGUAAUCGGUGCUACGAAAUAUAUUCGUUGCGUCGUAAUAUAACAAAAUGCGCGUCGGGAGUGCCGUUAAUGCCGGGAAUGUCGUAAUAGUUUCGCGAGUACGAAACGUCGAACAGCGAAUCUAUAGAUGAACGCAUUUCUGUCGCAUGCUACGUCAAAUAUUUGGGACACGAUUUUUUCUCGAACUUUGGGCUUGGUUCGGCGGGAGGGAAGGAUCGGUUUUUAUCUUGGGAUCCCGAUCUGGGCCUUUUCUUCUUCGAGCUUAUGCCCUUUGUUUUGAGACAAUCGUGGCCCAAUUGAUAAGUGCGGUCGUCUGAAACGCGAACGGAAAUUCGCGCGUAAGGUCGCAUUUUGGACAAUUCGGUUCGAUUCGCUUGCGACGUCGGGAGUGCCGUUUAAAAGUGAGUCGCGCGAUUUUCGUACUCGGGCACGCGCGCGAGCAAAGCGUGCGCCGCGAACGCGUGUGAGUCAGUGUGAGUGCUUGUGCGUGUGUGUGUGAAGGACUACUGAGAGGAGCAGGAGGUCUAGGAAGCACUGGGCGACAGCAGAUCAACGAUACGAUCUUGAUCGUAAGCGAGAAAGGGCGCUUCGCUAUCAAGAGGUCCGGACAGCAAAGCAUUCCUUACAGCACGAACGUGUACUCUGUCUCGGGGAUGUGAUUGGUAGAUAGGUAAGUAGAUAGUUAGAUAGUUGGGUAGACGAGUAGGUGGAUUGUCUCUCGAUGCAACCGCACCGACGUAAGUGCACGUGUUACAUUAUUAUGCAUCGCAUGCGAAUGGAGCGACGGCCCGUUUCUCAGUUUGGUCCAAGACAGAUCCAAGAUGAUCUAUCCUAGGAAUAAGAAUUUAACCAGAAGAAAGGAAGGUGGCUACAUGUCGAGUACCUGUA
rnacentral:lncRNA from 1 species